UUAAUUGAAACCAAAGUAGAGGUAUAUUAUUGUUAAUAAUAAAAUUGAAUUAAUUUUCCAAUUAAA
rnacentral:tRNA from 1 species